rnacentral:tRNA from 1 species
AAAAAGAUGGCCGAAUUAUAGGCAGAAGACUGUAACCCUUCCCAUGGAUUUCUCCUCUUUUU